UACAGAGGAGCCAAGCGUUGUCCGGAUUGACUGGGCGUAAAGCGCACGCAGGCGGACGCGCGCGUGGGGUGUGAAAUCUGGCCGCUUAACGGCCAGGCGCCAUCCCAUACGGCGGGUCUGGAGUGAUGCAGAGGGCGGUGGAAUUGCCGGUGUAGUGGUGAAAUGCGUAGAGAUCGGCAGGAACACCCAGGGGGAAACCAGCCGCCUGGGCAUCGACUGACGCUGAGACGCGAAAGCGUGGGGAGCAAACAGG
rnacentral:rRNA from 1 species